rnacentral:rRNA from 1 species
GACGAACGCUGGCGGCGUGCUUAACACGUGCAAGUCGAACGGAAAGGCCUCUUUCGGGGGGUACUCGAGUGGCGAACGGGUGAGUAACACGUGAGUAACCUGCCCUUGACUUUGGGAUAACUUCAGGAAACUGGGGCUAAUACCGGAUAGGAGCUCCUGCUGCAUGGUGGGGGUUGGAAAGUUUCGGCGGUUGGGGAUGGACUCGCGGCUUAUCAGCUUGUUGGUGGGGUAGUGGCUUACCAAGGCUUUGACGGGUAGCCGGCCUGAGAGGGUGACCGGCCACAUUGGGACUGAGAUACGGCCCAGACUCCUACGGGAGGCAGCAGUGGGGAAUAUUGCACAAUGGGUGGAAGCCUGAUGCAGCAACGCCGUGUGCGGGAUGACGGCCUUCGGGUUGUAAACCGCUUUCGCUCAUGACGAAGCUUUGUGUGACGGUAGUGGGUAAAGAAGCACCGGCUAACUACGU